GGGGGGGGGGGGGGGGGGCGGGGGGCGUGGGGGGCGGGGGGACCGGUCGGGGGGAGUGGCGGACGGGUGAGUGACACGUGGGAACGUGCCUUUAGGUUCGGGAUAACUCAGGGAAACUUGUGCUCAUACCGAAUGUGCCCUUCGGGGGGCAGAUUAAUCGCCUUUAGAGCGGCCCGCGUCUGAUUAGCUAGUUGGUUGAGGUAAUGGCGCACCAAGGCGACGAUCAGUAGCUGGUCUGAGAGGAUGAUCAGCCACAUUGGGACUGAGACACGGCCCAAACUCCUACGGGAGGCAGCAGUGGGGAAUCUUGCGCAAUGGGCGAAAGCCUGACGCAGCCAUGCCGCGUGAAUGAUGAAGGUCUUAGGAUUGUAAAAUUCUUUCACCGGGGACGAUAAUGACGGUACCCGGAGAAGAAGCCCCGGCUAACUUCGUG
rnacentral:rRNA from 1 species